rnacentral:sRNA from 12 species
AUCAGGUCUAGGGUAGCCCCCGAAAAACCGGAUUCCUUCAUCCGGUCUGACCUGUGUCUUUAAUGAAGG